CACAUGAGGGGUGGCGCACCAAGCAACCUUCUUUGGAUACUUCCAAGAAGGGAGGUGUCGCCUAUGGACAUAGCAAACGUUUUAACGCUGAUGAUUUCAUUCGGCAUGUUGAUUACGUUUAUCAUGUCCGAUAAAAACCAAAAAAAGUAACCCCUCGUGUGCUUGACAGGCUUUUGAGGGAUUACUUCUCUUGAUUGCGCCUAGCCCCUCUUGUCGGGGUUCGGUCUAUUGUAACCGUAGGCGUUGCACCGUCUACG
rnacentral:misc_RNA from 1 species